GAAAUUUCAAACUUCCUGCAUGUCAGAAUGGUCAACCUUUGAUGUGGGAUGGCCCUGAGAAGGAACUUUCCACCUACCUAUUAUCUUACAGGUUAAGGCCGUGAUCUUCAGGGAUGACCCAGACGGCCACCCUGACCAGGUGCCCUAUAUCCUGGCCUGGCAGGACAUGAGCGAGAAUCCCCCUCCUUGGCUAAAACCAUUUUUACCCCCCAAAGCACACAAUUCGGCUGAAGGUAAGGAGAGACUCCAGGUCCACCGCCAGACUCUAGGGUCAGGUCUCAAGGCUGCCACGCAGAAGCCUACCGAUCUGGCCAAGGUGUAUGAUGCGAGACAGGGUAAGGAUGAGAGUCCAGCAGCCUUCUUAGAGAGAGUCAUAGAGGCUUUUAGGCAGUACACCCCUAUGAAUCCAGAAGCCCCGGAAACAAAGGCUGCAAUUAUCCUGGCUUUUGUUACCCAGGCCGCUCCAGACAUUAAAAAGAAAUUGCAAAGAGUAGAGAGACUGGGAGAGAAGAGCUUGCAGGACUUAGUAAUAGUAGCAGAACGAGUCUAUAAUAAGAGAGAAAGUCCGGAAGAACAACAAACCAAACUAAGUGACUGGCGGACCUGAAACCUGGCCAAGAUCCUGCUGGCCACAACCAUGGACAACCCACAGGAAAGACGGAGGCACCUCAAGAAGCUGGCCUCAGGGACAGAGCUCAUCACAUGGUUUCUGCAGAUCAUAUGUGACCUGUCUCAGAGACAGCUGGAAGAAGAGUAGGCACCCACUCGGCCAGGUAACUACAAAUGCUUUGCUAUUUCAUCGAUGGGCGGAAUGAUGUGGAACAGUAGAGGUCUGGUAGUUUCUUUGCGGGCCUCUGGGAACACCGGUUCUGAGGUAAGUCAGCCCCCAUGGAUAAAGUAUGAUCACCUGGAGACCAGCAUCUCACCUGAUACCCGAGCCAUGUGGAGGGUCCUUAGAGGAUGAGAUGCCACGUGGAGAGAUAAAGAGCCCAAAAAGCAGCAAGACACCAGGUCUGUGAGUGAUUAGCCCUCAUCUGGAGAGUGGAUUUUCUUCCAGCCCUGACUACCCCCAGGAGAUGCCAUAUGAAUCAGGAGUGAAUAGCUCAUUGGGACCCUUUCUGAAUUUCUGACCCAUAAAAUCAUGUGCAAAUUAAAAUUGUUAUUUUAAGACAUUAAGUGGAGGGGAUUUUGGUACACCAGAAUAGAUAAUUAGAACACUGAAAAUAAAUUCAAGGUGACUAUGAUAAACUGAGCUUAAUUAGCUAGUGAUCAGUAGACUCUAAACUGGGAGCUAUGGUGCUUCCUUUCCUCUCCCAAGGAGGUGGUGGGGGAGAAACCUGAAUUUGGAAUUUACAAAUUUUUAGAAAAUUUUCUUUUCUCCCUAAUGUCCAAAGACCAUUUCUGCUUACUCUGAGCUUGAGUCUAUAUUCUGAAUGACUGAGGCAGUUAGAAAUCACACUGCUGGAUUAAUGGAAGAAAGCUGAUAAAUGCCAGAGUGAUUUAUCUGAUAGUUGGUUACUGAAUAAAACCCUCUGAUUAUUGCUCAGGUCUUACGGACAGUUUGAUCACAUUUUAGACCUUGGAAUCAUUAAAUUGUGAUAUUACUUUUCUCCAGAAACCACAGCCUGAUUAUAUUUGAGGCAAUUUAAAGGAAAGAAUGUAGAUUCAAUACUGUUCUGGACAUAGUAUAUCCCUAGCACAUAUUUGCUAAUUGAUGAAUUAGAAAGCUGAAGCUGCAUGUAACACUUGCCUUCGAUUUUGCUGUUACUACCCUCAUCUAAACCACUGUGUUAUCUUCACUUGAUUUUCCUCCAACAGUCAAGUAUAUUCCUUCUCUGGUCUUGCUGUUCUCUUACAAUGGCAAGUUCAGGGACCAGAUACAUGCGUGGCCUGUUCCUCACUUCACUGAGGUUCUUUAUCAGAUCAGACAGGCCCUUCUUCAGUACUUCCCAUCUGCUUGAUUACUCUAUCCUUGCACCAUACUUCAUUUGUCUUCAUACCCCUUAUUCCUAUCCAACAUAUUUUGUUAUGGUUUUAUGCUCUCAUUUGAUUAUAUUUUCUAUGAGAAAAAAGUCUGGUUGAUAGCCAUCCAUUGUACUACCCCUCCCCACCACCCCCCAAAAAAGAUACAAGAACUUUGCGGUAUUUCCAGAAUCCGGAGCAGGAUUGAUGAGUGGUUUGAUUCUAAUUCUGUCAAGGAGGAAACAUCUUGACACUUUGGGUGACAAAGCGAAGACUGAGAACAUCACUUUAGUACUUAGGCACACCCUGUGGUUGCUACGGGUUAGUGUUAAGAUCUUGUUAUUAAUCGUCACCACAUCAUUCUGUACUUCUUUCCAACAAUAGUCAAUCCCCGCCUCUCUUAAAACCCUUUUCAUAGCCUGGAUAUCAGUUCAAAAGUCCUAGAUCAAAGGUCCUGCCCAAUUUAUUCCACGGAAUAAAGCUCUUAAUCUUUUCACUUAAGGCAGGGUAUGCUUAAUAUUCCUUUUGUUUCUGUAUCAAAAGUUCACUUUAGUUAAGAGACCAUUAAUUCAUUCCUUUUUUAUUACAAUAGCCACUGAGGAUUAAACUAGUUUAAAAUUAUGCAGCCAUAAAAACUGACCUUCAAAAUGCACUGAGCAUUUAUAGCCUUCUCAUUUGUUGAUAAGCAAUCGAAGUACGAAUGGACUGCAUGUUAGAUGAACUAUUAGUCAUAGAGAUAGGCUUUUAAAAUUUCAAUUUCAUUUGAAGUAUCCCAAGUGUUGUAUUUGCAAUAUUUUGCAGAAUAAGAUAGCAUUUUUCAGUAUUUUUUUAGCAAAGUUUCUUUGUUUUUGUGCAGAUACACAACCGUUUGUAUUAUUUAAGAGGUGCCGUCUGCUAUCUAUCUGAUGCUACUCUUUUUAAAAUUCAGUGUUUAACCAACACACCUGAUGCAUUAUGUACAAAAAGAUACGAGUAUUUUGUUUAUAGUACCCCCUAUCAUUUGCCUGGCUCAGAUUGCCCUUAAAUCAAAUUUUAUGUAGAGGAAAAUAUAUAUAUAUAUAUAUUUUUGAGUAUAUAUAAUAUAUUUUUAGCAUAUUUUGAGUAUUUUGAGUAUGAUAAUAUAUCUCUAUCUCUAUCUAUCUAUCUAUCU